rnacentral:rRNA from 2 species
GUGCGAGACCGAUAGCGAACAAGUACCGUGAGGGAAAGAUGAAAAGAACUUUGAAAAGAGAGUUAAAGAGUACCUGAAACUGCUGAAAGGGAAUCGAAUCGUUUCCAGUGUCUAUAAUCCGUGGCAUAUUUCAUUGGCGAGUGUGUGCGUGCAUUGUUUUGGAAGCAGUUUUCUGUUCCUGGCUGUGUUGUGCAUUUGCUUGCUGGUGCCCUGUGUCGCGGUGGGACGUCAGAGUCAAUUCGUAAGUUGCGGGAAAUGGCUAUUGGGGAGGUAGGUCACUUCGGUGGCUGUUAUAUCCUGAUAGCUAGUAGUCGUGGCUGGGAUUGAGGUGCCUACAACGUGCUUUCGAGUGUCUGGGUGUCUCGUUUGGUAAGUUAUCUUGAGCAGCUUGCUGUGUUGGUGAUAUUAUUGACGCGAUUGAUGUCCUGGUCUAAACUUGUUGCUGUUCGGGAACUUAGG